UACAGAGGGGGCAAGCGUUGUUCGGAAUUACUGGGCGUAAAGGGCGCGUAGGCGGCCUUCUAAGUCGAACGUGAAAUCCCUGGGCUCAACCCAGGAACUGCGUCCGAUACUGGAAGGCUUGAAUCCGGGAGAGGGAUGCGGAAUUCCAGGUGUAGCGGUGAAAUGCGUAGAUAUCGAGAGGAACACCAGUGGCGAAGGCGAGUCUCUGGACAUUUCCUGACGCUGAGGCACGAAAGCCAGGGGAGCAAACGGG
rnacentral:rRNA from 1 species